rnacentral:rRNA from 1 species
CCAAUAGCGUAUAUUAAAGUUGUUGCAGUUAAAAAGCUCGUAGUUGAAUUUCGAGAUCGGCUUACUGGUCGUGCUUUUGUACGUACUGGUAUAAUCGGUUUCUCCUUUCUGACGAACUUUAAUGCCAUUAAUUUGGUGUUUUAGGGAAUCAGGACUGUUACUUUGAAAAAAUUAGAGUGUUUAAAGCAGGCUCACGCUUGAAUACCUUAGCAUGGAAUAACGGAAUAGGACGUUUGAUUCUAUUUUGUUGGUUUCUAGGAUCGACGUAAUGAUUAAUAGGGAUAGUUGGGGGCAUUAGUAUUCAAUUGUCAGAGGUGAAAUUCUUGGAUUUAUUGAAGACUAACUACUGCGAAAGCAUUUGCCAAGGAUGUUUUCAUUAAUCAAGAACGAAAGUUAGGGGAUCGAAGACGAUCAGAUACCGUCGUAGUCUUAACCAUAAACUAUGCCGACUAGGGAUCGGAUGAUGUUAAUUUUUUAAUGACUCAUUCGGCGCCUUACG